UGGACAGCCUUCUGAAAGGAAGAUUAAUACAAGAUGGCAUCAUGAGUCCGCAUGUUCACAUGAUUAAAGGUAUUCCGGUAGACGAUGGGGAUGCGUUCCAUUAGAUAGUAGGCGGGGUAACGGCCCACCUAGUCUUCGAUGGAUAGGGGUUCUGAGAGGAAGGUCCCCCACAUUGGAACUGAGACACGGUCCAAACUCCUACGGGAGGCAGCAGUGAGGAAUAUUGGUCAAUGGGCGAGAGCCUGAACCAGCCAAGUAGCGUGAAGGAUGACUGCCCUAUGGGUUGUAAACUUCUUUUAUAAAGGAAUAAAGUCGGGUAUGCAUACCCGUUUGCAUGUACUUUAUGAAUAAGGAUCGGCUAACUCCGUGCCAGCAGCCGCGGUAAUACGGAGGAUCCGAGCGUUAUCCGGAUUUAUUGGGUUUAAAGGGAGCGUAGAUGGAUGUUUAAGUCAGUUGUGAAAGUUUGCGGCUCAACCGUAAAAUUGCAGUUGAUACUGGAUAUCUUGAGUGCAGUUGAGGCAGGCGGAAUUCGUGGUGUAGCGGUGAAAUGCUUAGAUAUCACGAAGAACUCCGAUUGCGAAGGCAGCCUGCUAAGCUGCAACUGACAUUGAGGCUCGAAAGUGUGGGUAUCAAACAGGAUUAGAUACCCUGGUAGUCCCACCACGGUAAACG
rnacentral:rRNA from 1 species